GUUUUAGACGUCGUCGCUACGAGACGACGCUGGGCGGCGUGCUUAACACAUGCAAGUCGAACGCUGAAGCUCCGUUUUGGGGUGGAUGAGUGGCGAACGGGUGAGUAACACGUGGGUAAUCUGCCCUGCACUCUGGGAUAAGCCUGGGAAACUGGGUCUAAUACCGGAUAGGACACAUGGCCGCAUGGUGGUGUGUGGAAAGCGUGUGAGUGGUGUGGGAUGAGCCUGCGGUCUAUCAGCUUGACGGUGGGGUGUGGGCCUACCGUGGCGGUGACGGAUAGCCGGCCUGAGAGGGUGACCGGCCACACUGGGACUGAGACACGGCCCAGACUCCUACGGGAGGCAGCAGUGGGGAAUCUUGCGCAAUGGGCGGAAGCCUGACGCAGCAACGCCGCGUGGGGGAUGACGGCCUUCGGGUUGUAAACCUCUUUCGCUUCUGACGAAGCCGCUGCACGGGGUGUGGUGGUGACGGUAGGUGGAGAAGAAGCACCGGCUGACUACGUG
rnacentral:rRNA from 1 species